AUUGUUUAUCAGCCUUCUGGCUAUGAUUAAGUAUAGUAUCCAUUUGUAUCAGUUUGAUAUUUCAUGUUCCUCUAUCAGAACAGUGUAUUUGAUGGGUUUUUCUAGCUGGGAGAUAAAAUAAGAGUUUGAUUCACUCACUCCACGCAUUGUUCUGAUAUUUCAGUACUUCCAGAAAUAUGCACCCCUC
ensembl:snRNA U2 U2 spliceosomal RNA